CCAAUAGCGUAUAUUAAAGUUGUUGCAGUUAAAAAGCUCGUAGUUGAAUUUCGGGACUAAUAUGUCGGUCGUGCCUCGGUACGUACUGGUUUAUUGGUUUCUCCUUUCUGAAGAACCAUGAUGUCAUUUAUUUGGUGUCGUGGGGAAUCAGGACUGUUACUUUGAAAAAAUUAGAGUGUUUAAAGCAGGCUCACGCUUGAAUACAUUAGCAUGGAAUAAUGCAAUAGGACGUUUGAUUCUAUUUUGUUGGUUUCUAGGAUCGACGUAAUGAUUAAUAGGGAUAGUUGGGGGCAUUAGUAUUCAAUUGUCAGAGGUGAAAUUCUUGGAUUUAUUGAAGACUAACUACUGCGAAAGCAUUUGCCAAGGAUGUUUUCAUUAAUCAAGAACGAAAGGUAGGGGAUCGAAGACGAUCAGAUACCGUCGUAGUCUUAACCAUAAACUAUGCCGACUAGGGAUCGGAUGAUGUUAAUUUUUUAAUGACUCAUUCGGCGCCUUACGGGAAACCAAAGUGUUUGGGUC
rnacentral:rRNA from 1 species